GUCUAUGUGUAUUAGAAAGAUGUGGUGGACUAGGAGUAGAGUGGGGAGAUUGGAUAUUUGUAGGUAUUUGAGAGGUGGGAGCAUGAAUUGUAGACAUUUGUGGACUUGGAGUAGAGAGGAAAGGUGGGAAAUUUGUAAAUGUUUGAGAUAUGGGAUGAUGUUUCGGUUGCCUUGUAGGUUGUGGAAGUUGGAUAUUUGAAGGUGUGUUAGAUGUAAGAUGAUGUGUAGGUUUCCUUGUAGAGUGGGGUUGUUGGGUAUUUGUAGGUAUUUGAGAAGUGGGAGCAUGGACAGUAGACAUUUGUGGACUUGAAGUAGAGAGGAAAGGUGGGAAGUUUGUAUGUGUUUGAGAUAUGGGAUGAUGUGUAGGUUGCUUUGUAAAUAGGGAUUGUUGGAUAUUUGAAGGUGUUUUAGAUGUAAGAUGAUGUGUAGGUUUCCUUGUAGAGUGGGGUUGUUGGGUAUUUGUAGGUAUUUGAGAAGUGGGAGCAUGGACAGUAGACAUUUGUGGACUUGAAGUAGAGAGGAAAGGUGGGAAGUUUGUAUGUGUUUGAGAUAUGGGAUGAUGUGUAGGCUGCUUUGUAGAUAGGGAUUGUUGGAUAUUUGAAGGUGUUUUAGAUGUAAGAUGAUGUGUAGGUUUCAUUGUAGAGUGGGGUUGUUGGGUAUUUGUAGGUAUUUGAGAAGUGGGAGCAUGGACAGUAGACAUUUGUGGACUUGAAGUAGAGAGGAAAGGUGGGAAGUUAGUAUGUGUUUGAGAUAUGGGAUGAUGUGUAGGUUGCUUUGUAGAUAGGGAUUGUUGGGUGUCUGCAGGCCUAGGUGCUUGUAAUCUAGAAGAAUGCGACAAAGUAGUUUUAUGCUUACCUCCCUUAUUUCCCUUAACUUUGUUGAUGCUUAUACCAGCACCUCUUCCAC
rnacentral:lncRNA from 1 species